AUCAAGCGAAUGCAUAUGGACAUUGUUCAAUCAAAUAGCUCAGCGGCUUUUAUAUUGUAUCUCUUAAUUUACAGAAGAGUGCAUACAGAAAAGACACAAGGGCUUUAGAUCACUUAACAAGAUAUAUAUUAAACUGCUUAGUCAAGAAAGAUGGUAUUGUUAAUUUGACUCCGCCUGCAUACAGGGAUUACAACAUGGGAGUGUGUCCCAAGCAUGUGGCCACAUGAGAGUAGUUUCUUGGCAUCUGACAACUAGAUGGAUUUAUUGUCCAGAGGAAAGAGCAAACUGGUUGUUGUUAUCAUGCCAAGCACUCGAAAGCCUUUUAUAUUAAGAUUUGGGCAGCUCUAAUUAAUUCCUGACAGCUAACGAACAUUGGGAAACACCAAGGAGAAAAGGAACAGUGUGGCAAUCAAGUAUGAAAAUCAUGGCUUUCUGAAGCAUGUUGACCAAUGGAAUCACUCAAGUAGGCCCCUUGAAUAAUUGAAAAACUUUCUGUACCAUGCCCAACCUACUCUGUUACAGACAAUGGUUAAAAGAGUAAUGUGACAGAAACUGUACAGCACCUUCCCACUCAUUCAUUCAUUGGGUUUUAAUGGAAAAUGUGAUAACCACAUGUGUUGCUUUAAGGGAAAAGAGGGACCACAAAUUUUUUUUUUGGGGCUCCCUUUGGUGGCUUUGGAAUUUGCAUGGUGUUAAACUCCUGCACUGUGCACAUUUUAAGAGGAAGGACCCUGCUAUUGGUAACAGGGAAAGACACCAAGGAGGCUGAACUGUACUACUUGGCGGAAGGGCCAUAGACUCUUGUAUUUUAUUAAGAUUCAUGUCAAUCGCAGCACACAGCUGUUUCUGAGAUGAAAGAGAAGGAGACAGCAAUAUGCUUUGACCAUGACCAGG